rnacentral:rRNA from 1 species
GAUGAACGCUGACAGAAUGCUUAACACAUGCAAGUCUUUGGCGAAGCUGUGCUUGCACAGCCUAGCCAAGGCGGACGGGUGAGUAACGCGUAAGGAACCUGCCCUGCAGUCAGGGAUAACAGACGGAAACGACUGAUAAGACCUGGUAAAGUCAGGCGGACUCAUGUCCAGCCUGAUGAAAAGAGAUGCUGCAGGAGAGCCUUGCGUCCUAUUAGCUUGUUGGUGGGGUAACGGCCCACCAAGGCGAUGAUAGGUAGCCGGCCUGAGAGGGUGGACGGCCACAAGGGGACUGAGAUACGGCCCGUACUCCUACGGGAGGCAGCAGUGGGGAAUAUUGGACAAUGGGGGCAACCCUGAUCCAGCAAUUCUGUGUGCACGAUGAAGGUUUUCGGAUUGUAAAGUGCUUUCAGCAGGGAAGAAAAAAUGACGGUACCUGCAGAAGAAGCGACGGCUAAAUACGUG